UCCGGUUUAUCACCGGCAGUCUUUGCAGAGUGCCCAGCAUUACCUGAUGGCAACAGCAAACAAGGGUUGCGCUCGUUGCGGGACUUAACCCAACAUCUCACGACACGAGCUGACGACAGCCAUGCAGCACCUCUACGAGUGUCCUUGCGGAAGCGCCCUUUCGGGCGUGGUCACUCGCUGUUCAAGCCCAGGUAAGGUUCUUCGCGUUGCAUCGAAUUAAACCACAUGCUCCACCGCUUGUGCGGGCCCCCGUCAAUUCCUUUGAGUUUCACCCUUGCGAGCGUACUCCCCAGGUGGAAUACUUAUCAGGUUUCCUACGGCACUGACCCUCUCGGGCCAACACCAAGUAUUCAUCGUUUAGGGCGUGGACUAC
rnacentral:misc_RNA from 1 species